ACAAACCAAUCCCUCCCACCCAAAUUGCCUAUUAAACGUCUCACUCAGGCCCAAUUACAAGAACAAAGAGCCCAAGGUCUUUGUUAUAAUUGUGAUGAAAAAUUUGUGAUUGGCCACAAGUGUUCAGCUAGUCGGUUUCUACUUCUCUUAGUUGAGGAUGAUUCCCAAGACUCAUGGAAUGUAGAAGUGAAACUUGAAACAUACCAUAUUGAUGAAGACCCCAGUGAUACCUAUUCUCAAAUGCCAACUGAAGCCUUGACUGAUCAUUUUUCCCCCAAACACUUAAGUUCAAAGGACUCAUUAGAGGACUUUCAGUUAUGGUACUAG